AGUGAAUGCUGGCGGUAGGCCUAACACAUGCAAGUCGAACGGCAGCACAGUAAGAGCUUGCUCUUACGGGUGGCGAGUGGCGGACGGGUGAGGAAUACAUCGGAAUCUACUUUUUCGUGGGGGAUAGCGUAGGGAAACUUACGCUAAUACCGCAUACGACCUACGGGUGAAAGCAGGGGAUCUUCGGACCUUGCGCGAUUGAAUGAGCCGAUGUCGGAUUAGCUAGUUGGCGGGGUAAAGGCCCACCAAGGCGACGAUCCGUAGCUGGUCUGAGAGGAUGAUCAGCCACACUGGAACUGAGACACGGUCCAGACUCCUACGGGAGGCAGCAAUGGGGAAUAUUGGACAAUGGGCGCAAGCCUGAUCCAGCCAAACCGCGUGGGUGAAGAAGGCCUUCGGGUUGUAAAGCCCUUUUGUUGGGGAAAGAAAAGCAGCAGGUUAAUACCCCGCUGUUCUGACGGUACCCAAAGAAUAAGCACCGGCUAACUUCGUG
rnacentral:rRNA from 1 species